rnacentral:tRNA from 11 species
GGAGGGGUUCCCGAGUGGCCAAAGGGAACAGACUGUAAAUCUGUCGGCGUACGCCUUCGGAGGUUCAAAUCCUCCCCCCUCCACCA